GGUUGCGAUCAUACCAGCACUAAUGCAUCUGAUCCCAUCAGAACUCCGCAGUUAAGCGUGCUUAGGCGAGAGUAGUACUAGGAUGGGUGACCCCCUGGGAAGUCCUCGUGUUGCAACCC
rnacentral:rRNA from 1 species